rnacentral:rRNA from 1 species
GACGAACGCUGGCGGCGUGCUUAACACAUGCAGGUCAAACGGAAAGGCCUUUUCGGAGGUACUCGAGUGGCGAACGGGUGAGUAACACGUGGGUGAUCUGCCCUGCACUCUGGGAUAAGCCUGGGAAACUGGGUCUAAUACCGGAUAGGACCGCACUUUAGUGUGUGUGGUGGAAAGUUUUUUCGGUGUAGGAUGAGCCCGCGGCCUAUCAGCUUGUUGGUGGGGUAAUGGCCUACCAAGGCGGCGACGGGUAGCCGGACUGAGAGGUUGGUCGGCCACAUUGGGACUGAGAUACGGCCCAGACUCCUACGGGAGGCAGCAGUGGGGAAUAUUGCACAAUGGGCGCAAGCCUGAUGCAGCGACGCCGCGUGGGGGAUGACGGCCUUCGGGUUGUAAACUCCUUUCGCCAGGGACGAAGCGUUUUGUGACGGUACCUGGAGAAGAAGCACCGGCUAACUACGUG